rnacentral:rRNA from 1 species
CCUACGGGUGGCAGCAGUGAGGAAUAUUGGUCAAUGGGCGCGAGCCUGAACCAGCCAAGUAGCGUGAAGGAUGACUGCCCUACGGGUUGUAAACUUCUUUUAUAAAGGAAUAAAGCGAGGCACGUGUGCCUUUUUGUAUGUACCUUAUGAAUAAGGAUCGGCUAACUCCGUGCCAGCAGCCGCGGUAAUACGGAGGAUCCGAGCGUUAUCCGGAUUUAUUGGGUUUAAAGGGAGCGUAGGUGGGUUGUUAAGUCAGUUGUGAAAGUUUGCGGCUCAACCGUAAAAUUGCAAUUGAAACUGGCAGCCUUGAGUACAGUAGAGGUAGGCGGAAUUCGUGGUGUAGCGGUGAAAUGCUUAGAUAUCACGAAGAACUCCGAUUGCGAAGGCAGCUUACUAAACUGCAACUGACAUUGAGGCUCGAAAGUGUGGGUAUCAAACAGGAUUAGAUACCCUAGUAGUC